UGGCGUUGUUGUGGCUGUGGUGUAGGCUGGCAGCUAUAGCUCUAAUUCGACCCCUAGGCUGGGAACCUCCAUAUGACACGGGUUUGGACCUAAAAAGCGCCCCCCAAAAAAGUACUGUUAAUUUUGUUGGAGGGGAUAAUGGCAUGGUACAUAGGUAAAGAAAUUUAUUUGUUUAUAAUAGCAUACUGAAAUAUUUAAAGAGAAAAAAUUAGGUUGUCUUGGAUUUGCUUUAAAUAAUCCCCCAAAUAAGGGAAGCAAAACGGCAAAAUCUAAAUAAUUGUUAUAUCAAAAGGACAGGUAUAUGGGACUCGUCAUUUUGAAAAAUUUUAAAAAGAAAAAAAAAAGAAAAAAAAAAACAGUGGGAUGGGGGAAAGGAGAUAGUUGGUACCAGAAUGGUUAUUCCCAUGUGAACCUUACAAUCUUCCACAGAAUAGUAGUUCCCUGUUAAUAAUGUUGACAGAACAUGGUAAGAGAUGGCCAAAUAUGCUUAAGAAACACUGUUAAAUGCUAUAAAGACUUUUCCAUGUCUUUACAAUAUGAAGGUACAAAGUGACUCCAAAAUUGAACAUAUACAAUGCUAUCUUAAAAGGGUUUUUUUUCAUAUAUAUGUUAUUAGAUGAUAAAAAUAUCAAAAAGACAAGAUUCUUCUACAAAAUAUAGUCUAUCAUUUUUUUCUUUUUGUCUUCUUAGCACUGCACCUACAGCAUAUGGAAAUUCCCAGGCUAGGGGUUGAAUCAGAGCUGCAGCUGCAGGCUUACACCACAGCUGCAGCAAUGCUAGAUCUAAGCUGUCUGUGUGUCUUAUACUGCACCUCAAGGCAAUGCUGGAUCCUUAACCCACUGAGAAGGUCCAGAAAUUGAACCCACAUCCUCCUGGAUAUUAGUUGGGUUCAUAACCCACUGAGCCACAACAGGAACUCCUAGCCUAUCAUUUUUGAUACUUCUAACCUGUCUUUGUGUAAGCAGCCCAAUCUCACACUAGUACCACUCCUUCAAUCUAGAGGCAAGAAACUAAUCUACUAAUCCAUUUUUUUCCAAAUUUCUUAAACUCAUACUUCUUUGAAAAUUUGUUUGUAUGGUCCAGAACAAGCCAUAGUCCAGACCAGAGGUGCCAGGUCUGAAUCCUGUAUUGGAUAUUACAGAAUUUUCACCCUACUCAUUUCCUCAAGUUUUCACUACAUGUGUUCUAUGAGCUGAAAUUUUGUGAUGCUGGAGUACGUGGAUUUGGUUGACCAAACCACAGAGCUGUGCUUCACAACUCCCGUGUUUCAAAUCAUUCUAGUUCUUUAGCGUAUAAUGCACAUCCAUGACACAGACAGAUAGAACAAGUUCAAUGUGCAUAGCCCCCUAGAAUGUCAUCACCAUCUCAUGUUAGAAACUAUGCUGUCAAUCAGGAAAUGAGGAUCUUGAAGUCCUAGUCUAUGAAACACACUUGGCCUUUAGCUUCCCAGAUCUUUGGGUGACCCACUCAGCAUUCAAGCCUUUUUUGCAGAAGCAGCACAGUACUUGAAUUGCAAAUUGGUUGUCACAAUUCUGGAUGCUGCGGUUUGCUCAGCUAUAAUAAAAUGCACCUAAAAGAUACUAAAUCUUAGGUACAUCAAAAUUUGCUUCAACGUGAUUCCACGAAUAGAUAUAAAUAAUUCAACUUUCAAUUUAAAAUCCAGAAUCAACUAAACCGACCCAUCAUGGGAAAUAAGCAUUGAGGCCCUCUCUAGAGUCUACGCUGUUUUGUUACAGGGUUAAAAGUUUCAGGUCUAAACUCACAGUGCGCUUGAAGCUCAGCUUCACCAUGUAUUAGCUACAGGACCUGGAAGCUUUAUGAACCUUUCUAAUCCUCAAUGACCUUCCAAAAAAAAGAAAUAUAAUAAUACCUACUCUUAGGGCUUUUGUGAGGACUAAAGGAAAUGAUAGGAAAUGGCUAACAGUACGAAGUGUUUAAUACACUGUUUGCACGUGGUAUGUCUAAAUGUUAGCUGUCAUCAUGGGUUUUUACAUACAGUCCUACAUUAUUCUUCUCAAAAAUUAGUAUUCUACUAAACACGACUGAGGAUAACACUGAUUUCAACAGAAUCAACUUCUCUCCUCAGUUUCAAGCACAGUACCCCUUAUAGGGUUUAUUACUCCAGAAGUUUAUUACUGAAGACAAUGAAUAAAUUAGAGACUUCUAAGACUAUAGAUGAAGGCCUCUAUGGAGCUGAUGGCCAAUUACAAGCCCCUUCUGUUCCGGAGUGCAUCCUGCUAAACAGAACUUGAACACAUUUCUCAAAAUAAAGGUUACGCUGUUACUGAAAAAGAACAUCAUGACCAAAUUCCAUAUUACGUUGGCAUCAGAAUUUCUUUGAAUCUGAUUAUUAUAUUAAGCCACAUUCCAAUGAGCCCAGAGUGUCCUACGGGGAAAAUAAUUACUCCAUUGCUAGUAGUUGGCAGAUAUCCCAUUUUUAAAAGACUUUAAACUUGCCUUUGCAUUCCUCAUUUCAAUACCAGUUAAAUCGAAAGUGGAUUGUGAUUAAAAUGGAGCAUUUUAUACACUAGCAUUUACAGUAUAUAUUUUCUCAAUUAUAUUCUUUUUGGUCUUGUUUAACAGAAGGUUUAGUUCUUUUUGACUUUUCCACAUGAAUUAAAUUUUAAACUUUUCUUCUUCUAGUGAGAAAAGUAUUAAAGUUCUACACAUGCCCCUAAAUGAUAUAUGAUCUAUGCAUGACUUCACUUCUCCUCAUUUGCAGAAUUUACAUUCAGAAACUACUUAAAUGGAGAAGGCUCACUGCUUAAAAACUGACCUCUUUGUUUAAAAUGUUCAAAGGACAUGAAGUUGAAGUGUAAGUUUGCUUCAAAUUCAGAGGCACACAAGUAAUGAUUUACUUUAAAAACUACAUAUUUCAAGAAAAGUCACAAUAUAACAUUUAAUUUGCCGUCAUUCUUAAGGAUUUUGGAACAUCUUUCUUGGUUGGAUUUAGAAUAUAUUAUAUAAAUAAGAGAAACAGUUUUUUUAAUAAGUUCAAAAUAUUUUAGUGGUCAACCAUGUAAUAUUCAAGCCUGCAGUGGUCUGGGGGGAAAAAGAUCCAUGGUUUCUUCCUAGAUUUGCCAAAUAUUGUCUGUAUAACUAGCAUUGGUCACAAAGUCUCCCCAGGGCCCAAUUUCCUCAUCUCUAACACAGGGGAUUGGACUAAAUGACCUCUAAAGUCCCCUUCAGUGUUAUGACCCUGUGUUGGAACCAAACAGAUUAUGGGAAAAUAUAAAUCACUGUGAUCCGAAAGGAAUGUGAAAGAGGCUUUUGAUAAUAAAAUAUUCUCAAAUACCCAAACCUUAUUGAAUGAGAAGCAGGCUAUAAUGCAAACAACAUCUGGAUGUGAUUGUUAAAAACCAAAUGCAAAAGGGGAAUCCAAAUUAUGUUAGAUGUUACACUAACAUCAGAACCUUGGGAAAAGAAACAAUUUAAAAGAAAAAAAUGAGACAGAAAUGGCCCCUAAGAAAAGAGUGCUUACUAUAAACAAAGGUAUAUUCAAAAUAGGGGAAAUGAUACGGAAGUCAAGGAAACUGACGAAGUCAGGAAGGUAAAAUACCCCAGAAAUAUAACCCUUCAUGUUGGGCCUGACUUCAUAAUGUUUUUAUCUUAAAUAUCAUACAAAUUUAUAUCCCCAUGAAAGUCUAAAUGAUAGGCAUUACCCAGACAAGAGUUCUGUCUUAAAAAUGUUAAAUUAGAUUUACUGCAUUUGUCAGCCUGUUAAACAUUUUUAUCUACCUUUUCCAGUAAAAACAUUUUUAGUGGUUAUGGCUACUCAAUGUUCCCAAAUUAAACGGGAACAUAUUCACUAGUGGGGUUUAAAUAUUUGCUAAAUUUUUCUUUGUUCUAAAUUGACAAAAUUGAAAAUCUCCCUUGGGCCAUUUUUAUCUCUGUACCAAAAUUCCACUACAGCAGCAUCUUUAAGGCAUAUACCAAUCGAAAUCUCAAAGCUGGGGAAAAUAAAAGUAUUAAUAAAAAUAGUUAUAGUAACUACUACUCCUACCAUUUAUUGACAACCUAAUAGUAUAUAAACCCAUUAAACACAGAGAUGCAUUGGGUGGGUGUUAGCUCUGUAUUAGAAUUGAAGAAAUUAAACUGAAGUUCAAAGAUGUUAAGCAACUUAUAUAAAUCCAGAGCCCUGCUAAAUAGCAGAGCUAGAAUUUUAACCCAGGUCUAGCAGUGAGCAUGGAGUCCACACUCAGUCCUCUAUGCUGUGCUGGCAGAGGCAGAGAGGACAUGUGCGCAUGUCAUAUGUGCAUGUAAAUGUAUUGGGGCAGGGGGGAGGGAGAGAGGAGAGGAAACGCAUGCGCGCACACUGGCCAGGUUCUCUGCAAUGAGAAUCCAUUGUUUGAAUCAGCUUCUUGUAGAAGCCUCUCGAUCCCCAAAGGAUUAAUUACCCUAGCAGUGAAUCCAGCCUCAGAACCUGGCUGAAUUUUUUUUUUUUUUCACUUGGAGAAAAAAAGAACCAUAUAAGUAGAAGUUCCCAUCUAAUUAAUUCAUGUAUGUUACUAUCUGCAUACUUCAUCGGUACAUAGUGCUUUAAAACGUGCACAGCUCUUUUCUCGCCUUCGCCAGAGCCUUUCUAGAAUCUCUGGUUUUUCACAGGAGGAAACAGGCUCAGUGUGAACAGAUCUCUCAUGAAAGAGCUCAGUCCGAGUGAUGGCUGAACUCCCCUCCCAGUCCCCGCUUCAGAUCUGGUCCUCUUCUCCUGAGCAUGACACCCCUGGUGUGUGCCAUCAGGCAAGGCAUGCAGGCUCUCAGGGCCUCUACGCUCUCCCUCAAGUGGCGUCUCACAAGUUCCCUUUAAGUCUAACAUUUUGGAAUUACCGAGAUCCCUACCAUGGGCUCUAGAAAAUAUUAGAGAAUCAAAGGAAGAAUUUCCCAACCCUUUCUGCUGUCCACCAAGGAAGGAACAACUUGAGGUUCCCUUGAAAUAAUCAUAUUUAAAUGUGUGGGUUUUGUGUUUGUUUUUGAUAGUAAAAUUAAGCUCAAUCCCUUUCUCCCUGAUUAGGAAUAGAGAAAUUCUAAAGUAAUUGCAAAAUACUGUCUCCACCCCCAAAAAAAUACUUUUUCCCUUCCCAGGCUACUCAAGGAUCCAACUAUUCAAGGAAAUACUCUUGUUCCAACAAUUGUCCACUGCAACAGAAUUACAAUAUUGGCAGAUGCCUAAUUUAUGAAAUCUGCUUAGUCUCAUUUUUUUGACCCUUUCCAAGAUAUUUUUUAUAUAUCAAUAUAUCUCUGAGGCCCUGUUCGUUCCCAAAAAUAGUCAAAUAUUUCACAACACACUUAAGCAUGCCAAGUAUGUACAAAUCUUAUCAGUUGCUAGCCCAAAAAAAGGGAGAGGGAGGCAGUGGUGAGGAAUGGAGGCAAACAUACAGAAUAUAUAUUGUAGAAUUAUGGAGCCUUCAUAACUCUCCUGGAGAGAGAGAAUGAGAAAAAGGAAGAGACAGAGAACAUUAUUCUGAAUAACCUGAGAUCACAGCUAUCAAGGAAGUAAAGCAGACCAAUGAUUCCUUUGGAAAGUUCUCCUUGGAUUUACUCUUCUGCCUUUCUUCUGCUUAUCCAGUGAUGUAGAGUGAUGGCAUGUGCCUUGGGGCAAAGGUACAGGUUUGUGGUCCUCCAAAGGCUAAGACCAUCUGCCUAUUUUUCUAUUUAUUCUAUAGCCAAAUAAGCAAUUAAAUCUCUAAAGCCUACUGAAGUAAUCUGAGAACCCAUCAUGAUCAGAGAUAUUGCCUCCUGACCCUUGCACAUCCCAAUAAAUCAAACUCCUCCAAAAGACAUUCCAGAUUUCCAUCUUGGUAAGACAGAGACCAGCUCUCCUGUGACAGGCCCAUGACAGGGCUUCCCGAGGAAUAUUUUUUGGCCUGGCAUCUACCAAUGACCAUUCAACACUUUCAGGGGGAAGAUUUGGACUCUUAGAUUCAUGCCUUUUACAGGCUCUUGAGCAUGCCUUUAAUUGAUUCUCUUCAACUAAGUGAAAAGCAAAGCAGACUAAUUUAAAUCUUAAACAAAUUCUAAUUAUCUCUUAAUAACAAGCCUCUCCCCUUAGGCUCUCCCUUAAGGUGAUACUGCUAAUCUCCUUCAGUCACCAUCGCUGUGUUUAGCCCCUCAUUCAACUACGUCAUUCAUUUUCCUGUAUCAACUUCCCUCGAUCCUGUCUCAUGUUUCUGGGCUGUUUAUAAAAACAGAUAAAGGAAAUGACUCCUUGCUUUGUUCUUUUACCCAUAUGGCAUAGAUGUAGCUAAGAAUGGAAGUCACAGGUCCCAUGGGCAGAGAACAGAGAAAGGGGGAGAGAGUGAUUUAUGAUGGUCAAAGUGUGGGAUGGUGCGGGAAGAUAAGAGAAUAAAGCAACCACUUGCCUGAGCCUUGCUCUCAAGGAUGAUUAAAAAUAAACAGCUCAUCUUUCCUUCUGCUUGAGUCAAAGACUUGUAGUGACAUGUGGGUGGAGAGGGAAGCCAUUUCUUCUCAUAAGCACUCUUGAAAUCCAAUUAGUCAAAACAAAUGUUUAUGGAAUAUUUACUGUGUGCAAGACUCUUAAUAAUUUCACCCUCUAUACUUGAACUACUUCAGCUUUAUCUAAUGUUUAUCUAAUUUCUGCCUAUCAUCACUCCCAGAUCCUCUAGGCCAGAACCUUGCUCAGCUCCUAUUUUUCCAUUUCACUCUCUAUGAUAAUGUAAGAUUAUAUUAAACAUUUGCUGUUAGUCAUCAAAGCUGUGUUUCUCCCAUAUGUUCACUGGGUGGUUGUUGCAGCACAUGUUUACCAAACUACACACCGUGAUUCUCUGUACAACCUUUUACCCAUAAGCUGACUUAUCUACUCAAAGAUUUCUCUCAAAAAUGCCCCUACCU
rnacentral:lncRNA from 1 species